GGAUCAAGACUUUGCUCUCCUAUUUGGUGAUGAGACAUCAUCCAGGCUGCUUCAGAAAUGGGACAUGUUCUUCAAACCAAAUGUUAUCAAAGAGGCCAAGCAACUCACUUCAUCACCAGAGUUGAAUCAGCUGUGGCAGUCAGCAGAAAGGAAGUGACCUUGAUGAGAUAGGAGAAUAUGACCAAGAAAUGGCAUCCCUUUUGUUGCUGAUACAUCUCCUUCCACCACCACCUGGAGGACAGAAGUCUCCAAAGAUCUGUGCCUGUGAUGCAGCUGAAAGACUUGUAGUCUUCCAUAAGUCAUGUUGCAGUUUGGAGGAGCAUCUUAGCAAACACCAGCGACAACAUCCAUAUCUUCUUGCUGUUGGACGUCAAAAAGCAAGACUGAGGA